CUAGGGGUGGACAUUAAAAGACCAUCCGGUGAUAACCGACCGGACCGAAUCCGAAAAAAAGCUAGCGGUCGGUUUUAUUCGGUUCAGCGGGUUCAGCGGGUGAACCAAGCGGUCUACUUUGGGUCUGCACGGUCGGGUUCGGUUGGAUUAAUUGGGCCCGUCGGACCCCGAACCCGACCGAUACUAAUUACUAUAUGUAACAGCUACUGGUAAUGGCCCAAUCCAGUGCAAAGAAUUCUCUGGCCCAAUUGAUUUUCUCAAACCCUAACCUAAUAAACACAACAUACAAAUACCAGAUCUCAGUAAAUUUCCCAAAUCGUUUUCACUUCUUCUUCUUCGCCGCCGCCGCCGUCACCAUGCCUUGAAACCUAACCCUAAACAACUCAUGCAUCUUUGCCGUCACCACUAACCACGCCGCUCUUCCCUCAUCUUCACAUCAUCACUGUAAUCUCAAGCUAGCUGUCUUUGUUUGUCCAACCUCGAACCUCAGCAUUCAACUUCCAAAAUUACGAGCAAGAAGAGCUUUAUGUUCUUUUUAAGGGUUUGUGUUUGGUGAACUCUGUUUGGUGAACGGUUGAAACUUACUAAAGUUUUCAGAAAUUACAUGGCCUUAAAAAAGUGUGAGAUCUAUAUUUUCUGUUAUGUAAGCAAAUUUCUUGUGUUCUGAAAAUAUAUGUAAAUCACUUUACAUGGAAGGGCCUAUGAGAAUGCAGGGAGUUGAGUCUGAAAACGUCUAAUAGCAAGAACAAUUUAUUUUAUCUAUGUUUGAAGUAUUACUGUUAAUAGCCUUUUAAUUAUAAGACUGAGGAUUUAUGACUUAUGUUUCAUAGAAAUUAUG